rnacentral:rRNA from 1 species
GUGUCAGCCGCCGCGGUAAUACAGAGGGUGCAAGCGUUAAUCGGAAUUACUGGGCGUAAAGCGCGCGUAGGCGGUUGUGUAAGUUGGAGGUGAAAUCCCCGGGCUCAACCUGGGCAUUGCCUUCAAAACUGCACGGCUAGAGUAUGGGAGAGGAAGGUAGAAUUCCAGGUGUAGCGGUGAAAUGCGUAGAGAUCUGGAGGAAUACCGAUGGCGAAGGCAGCCUUCUGGCCUAAUACUGACGCUGAGGUGCGAAAGCAUGGGGAGCAAACAGGAUUAGAAACCCUAGUAGUCC